CUAAUAUAUAAAGCAUACUAUAACUUGGUUAAAUUACAUUGACUUUAUUUUUUUCCUCAUCUAGGAUGCAAUGGAAAAGAUACAUAGAGGAUCAAAUACAUGUGAUGGUGGAAGUGAAGACCGUUCCUUUGUGCUUCCUUGUUUCCUGAAGGGAUGCUUCUGAAAUUCAGUGAUCUCAACAGGCCACUUGGAGAGAGAGAGAGAAUAUUUUAGAAACCAAAAGGAAGUAUGACCGGACCAUAGCAUCAAGGGAAAGAAAGGUGAAGGUAAGGUCACCCUACAGGCCUGUGAACAAAGUGGAUGAUGCAGAGCUAUUUUAGCGUGAAGAGAGUUAAGCAUUUAUGUCAAGGGCAAAGGGAAUUUAUUUUGAAGAGUUUUAUGCAACUGUGUGGAAUGUAGGGGUAAAACGUGGGAGAAAAGAGAACACAUAGAGGGUAUUUAAAUAAUUUUAGAAGAAAUGGUGGUUAUCGUGGUGAUAGUAGAGCUAGUAAAAAUGGAAAACAUUAGAUGUUAGAAUGUAUUUUUAAGAAAGAAACAACCAAGAGUCACUGAUAUAUUGAAUAUGGGGAGUUCAAGGGAAGGGACAUGGCUGAUGCUGGAAACCAUCAUUGUCAGCAAACUAACCCAGGAACAGAAGACCAAAAUUGAAUGUUCUUACUCAUAAGUGGGAGCUGAGCAAUGAGAACAUAUGGACUCAGGGAAGGGAACAACACACCGGGGCCUGUAGGGGGUUUGGGGGAGGGCAAGGGGAGGGAGAGCAUUAGGACAAAUAACUAAUGCACGUGGAGCUUAAAACCUAGAUGACGGGUUGAUAGGUGCAGCAAACCACCAUGGCACAUGUAUACCUAUGUAACAAACCUUCACGUUCAGCACAUGUAUCCCAGAACAUAAAGUAAAAUAAAAAUAAAAAGAGUUACUGGGUUAGAAAGAUUCUCCUUCUGGACUUGAAGAAGCAAAGAGCCAUAGCCAUAGCUAUAUAUGGGACACAUGGUAGGACACUGGAAACAGAUUAGGACCUAAGAAUACCUUCUGGCUGACGGCCAGAACACAAACGGAAAUCUCAAUGAAUUCCAUCAACAGCCUGCAGGUGUUUGGAAAUGGAU
rnacentral:lncRNA from 1 species